AGCUUUGCGCAGUGGCAGUAUCGUAACCAAUGAGGUUUAACCGAGGUGCGAUUAUUGCUAGUGAAAACUUUUCCCCAAUACCCGCCGGGACGUCGUAAAAGACCGACGGCCAGGGCAAUUUUUUGAUAGCCCGGUUUCAGGGC